rnacentral:rRNA from 1 species
CAGUAGGGACGAAGCGGAAGUGACGGUACCUACAGAAGAAGCACCGGCCAACUACGUGCCAGCAGCCGCGGUAAUACGUAGGGUGCAAGCGUUGUCCGGAAUUAUUGGGCGUAAAGAGCUCGUAGGCGGUCUGUCGCGUCGGCUGUGAAAACCCGAGGCUCAACCUCGGGCCUGCAGUCGAUACGGGCAAACUAGAGUGUUGCAGGGGAGACUGGAAUUCCUGGUGUAGCGGUGAAAUGCGCAGAUAUCAGGAGGAACACCGGUGGCGAAGGCGGGUCUCUGGGCAACAACUGACGCUGAGGAGCGAAAGCGUGGGGAGCGAACAGGAUUAGAUACCCUGGUAGUCCACGCCGUAAACGUUGGGCGCUAGGUGUGGGGGCCAUUCCACGGUCUCCGUGCCGCAGCUAACGCAUUAAGCGCCCCGCCUGGGGAGUACGGCCGCAAGGCUAAAACUCAAAGGAAUUGACGGGGGCCCGCACAAGCGGCGGAGCAUGUUGCUUAAUUCGAUGCAACGCGAAGAACCUUACCUAGGCUUGACAUGCACGGAAAUCUCCCAGAGAUGGGAGGUCCUUUUAGGGUCGUGCACAGGUGGUGCAUGGUUGUCGUCAGCUCGUGUCGUG